UUGGCUUCUCGGCCUUUUGGCUAAGAUCAAGUGUAGUAUCUGUUCUUAUCAGAUGGCUUUCUGCAUGUUUUACCUCUCCUCAUGUUUCAUCUCAUAUAAGCUAAACAGAACUCCGUUUCUCCUUCUUUGUAUUUAUUUCCAAGGAGAUUUUUGAAAGAUGACACAGAACACUCAUAUCGUAGUAAACACGCC